rnacentral:rRNA from 1 species
UACGUAGGGUGCAAGCGUUAAUCGGAAUUACUGGGCGUAAAGCGUGCGCAGGCGGUUCGCUAAGACAGAUGUGAAAUCCCCGGGCUUAACCUGGGAACUGCAUUUGUGACUGGCGGGCUAGAGUAUGGCAGAGGGGGGUAGAAUUCCACGUGUAGCAGUGAAAUACGUAGAGAUGUGGAGGAAUACCGAUGGCGAAGGCAGCCCCCUGGGCCAAUACUGACGCUCAUGCACGAAAGCGUGGGGAGCAAACAGG